GUCUAGCCCAGAUUGAAGCAUUUGUUUGAGCUCUUUUUGCUUUUUGGAGCAAAAAAGCGAGUGCUGAAAGCUGAAAAUAGC
rnacentral:misc_RNA from 1 species